rnacentral:rRNA from 1 species
UGCGGCGAUGUCGACUUGGAGGUUGUGCCCUUGAGGCGUGGCUUCCGGAGCUAACGCGUUAAGUCGACCGCCUGGGGAGUACGGCCGCAAGGUUAAAACUCAAAUGAAUUGACGGGGGCCCGCACAAGCGGUGGAGCAUGUGGUUUAAUUCGAUGCAACGCGAAGAACCUUACCUGGUCUUGACAUCCACGGAAGUUUUCAGAGAUGAGAAUGUGCCUUCGGGAACCGUGAGACAGGUGCUGCAUGGCUGUCGUCAGCUCGUGUUGUGAAAUGUUGGGUUAAGUCCCGCAACGAGCGCAACCCUUAUCCUUUGUUGCCAGCGGUCCGGCCGGGAACUCAAAGGAGACUGCCAGUGAUAAACUGGAGGAAGGUGGGGAUGACGUCAAGUCAUCAUGGCCCUUACGACCAGGGCUACACACGUGCUACAAUGGCGCAUACAAAGAGAAGCGACCUCGCGAGAGCAAGCGGACCUCAUAAAGUGCGUCGUAGUCCGGAUUGGAGUCUGCAACUCGACUCCAUGAAGUCGGAAUCGCUAGUAAUCGUGGAUCAGAAUGCCACGGUGAAUACGUUCCCGGGCCUUGUACACACCGCCCGUCACACCAUGGGAGUGGGUUGCAAAAGAAGUAGGUAGCUUAACCUUCGGGAGGGCGCUUACCACUUUGUGAUUCAUGACUGGGGUGAAGUCGUACGGGGAAACCCCUAAAAACAGGGAGGCACCACGGGGGUUUCGGGUGCGGAAAGCCGGGCGUC